rnacentral:rRNA from 1 species
AACGAACGCUGGCGGCAUGCCUAACACAUGCAAGUCGAACGAGACCUUCGGGUCUAGUGGCGCACGGGUGCGUAACGCGUGGGAACCUGCCUUUAGGUUCGGAAUAACUCAGAGAAAUUUGAGCUAAUACCGGAUGAUGUCUUCGGACCAAAGAUUUAUCGCCUUUAGAUGGGCCCGCGUUGGAUUAGCUAGUUGGUGGGGUAAAGGCCUACCAAGGCGACGAUCCAUAGCUGGUCUGAGAGGAUGAUCAGCCACACUGGGACUGAGACACGGCCCAGACUCCUACGGGAGGCAGCAGUGGGGAAUAGUGGACAAUGGGCGAAAGAAUGAUGCAGCAAGGCCGCGUGAGUGAUGAAGGCCUUAGGGUUGUAAAGCUCUUUUAACCGAGAUGAUAAUGACAGUAUCGGAAGAAUAAGCGCCGGCUAACUCCGUG